UACGAAGGGUGCAAGCGUUACUCGGAAUUACUGGGCGUAAAGCGUGCGUAGGUGGUGAGUUAAGUCUGUCGUGAAAGCCCCGGGCUCAACCUGGGAAUGGCGAUGGAUACUGGCUCGCUAGAGUGCGGUAGAGGAGAGUGGAAUUCCCGGUGUAGCAGUGAAAUGCGCAGAUAUCAGGAGGAACACCGAUGGCGAAGGCAGCUCGCUGGGACGGUACUGACGCUGAGGCGCGAAAGCGUGGGGAGCAAACAGG
rnacentral:rRNA from 1 species